UGGGGAAUAUUGCACAAUGGGCGCAAGCCUGAUGCAGCAACGCCGCGUGAACGAUGAAGGUCUUCGGAUCGUAAAGUUCUGUUGCAGGGGAAGAUAAUGACGGUACCCUGUGAGGAAGCCCCGGCUAACUACGUGCCAGCAGCCGCGGUAAUACGUAGGGGGCUAGCGUUAUCCGGAUUCAUUGGGCGUAAAGGGUGCGUAGGUGGUCUUUCAAGUCGGUGGUUAAAGGCUACGGCUCAACCGUAGUUAGCCUCCGAAACUGGAAGACUUGAGUGCAGGAGAGGAAAGUGGAAUUCCCAGUGUAGCGGUGAAAUGCGUAGAUAUUGGGAGGAACACCAGUAGCGAAGGCGGCUUUCUGGACUGCAACUGACACUGAUGCACGAAAGCGUGGGUAGCAAACAGG
rnacentral:rRNA from 1 species